rnacentral:lncRNA from 1 species
AUGCUAUGGCUUUUUUAUUUUGUAUUUAUUUAUUUAUUUAUUUAUUUUGAUUGGGUGGAAUUGGGGGAGUUCAGCGAACGCGCCGUCAGCGCUGCACGGAAGAAAGCGCUCGGGGCGGCGUUGGCCGCGCACUCUCCGCGGCCUGCCAGAGCGCCGCCAGCAUCAAGCAGCCUGCCCGGGCCCGCCGCUGCGUGGUUCGGCUUUAUAUUUAAUACAUGCCUUUUCAUCUAUAAUUCACGCUGCUCAGACUCCAGCCACGUCUCGGCUCCCAUUUACGCCUGCACACCUUUCUCCUUCCCCUUCCCGAAGGGUCAGCCGAGAUACUCGGUGAAGGAAGGGGAGAGCUGUUUCGCUGGUUGUGUUUUUGUCUGCUUAAACAUCGAGCUGGAAAACACUUGUGGUCUGAUAAAUAAUAAAAGUGCUGAUUUCUCUUUCCCUGUAAAUGACACAGUUGAUAGCAUUGGCCAGCAAGAGAUCCAAGUUACUGCCUUGAAGAUUUUAGAAGAUUUUACAUCUUCAGAUGCAGGUUCCUGCCUUCAGAUUCCUAUAUACAUACACACGUACGGCGCAGUGUUAGGCAGUGGUGGAAGCUCCUUAUUUCUGUUAGAGAUGUUGUACAUCUGA